AAGUCGUAACAAGGUAACCGUAGGUGAACCUGCGGUUGGAUCAUUAACACGUAUCCACGUAUCAACCAACUGUGAACUUGUUUUCAACCCUCCCUGCCUGUUACAUGAAUUGGAAUUUUAUAAGAUAAUGAUAGGGAACUUCGGUUCAGUCUUAUGAGAUCAUCUGUGCGCUUCGGCGUGCUAACAAUUGUAGUUUCAGUCGGGCAUACCUUUUCUACUAUCAAUCUCUCCUUUCAUGAGGGCGAUAGUAGGAGCUAAUCACUUAUUUCACCCCCUUUUUGCUAGUUGACUUUUAUAUGUUGUUUCUUUCGUACUUUAUUGUGCGACUGGAUCACACGUUUAUUAUUUGAACGUUAAAAUUACAACUCUUAGCAAUGGAUAUCUUGGUUCUC
rnacentral:misc_RNA from 1 species